UCCCUGGUGUUCCAGUGGUUAAGAAUCUGCCUUCCAAUGCAGGGAACACAGGUUCAAUCCCUGGUCAGGGAA
rnacentral:tRNA from 1 species